rnacentral:tRNA from 1 species
GCCUUCGUGAUGUAAUGGUCAGCACACUGAGCCGGUAUUUCAGAGGUCCGCGGUUCGAUUCCCGGCGAAGGCC